rnacentral:rRNA from 1 species
UUUGACCUCGGAUCAGGUAGGGAUACCCGCUGAACUUAAGCAUAUCAAUAAGCC